rnacentral:rRNA from 1 species
GCAAGCUAGUAAGGGCUCGGGAUGGAUGCCUCGGCGGCCGGAGCCGAGGAAGGGCGUGGCAAGCUGCGAAAAGCCCCGGUGAGGCGCAAGCAGCCUAUGACCCGGGGAUGCCCGAAUGGGGAAACCCGCCGGGCCUUGUAGCCCGGCAUCCCGCCCUCGUGGCGGGAGGGGACACCGGGCGAAGCAAAACCUUUUAGUAGCCCGAGGAAAGGAAAUCAACCGAGACGCCCCGAGUAGCGGCGAGCGAAAGGGGCUCAGCCCAAACCGCGGUGGUGUCAUGGCGGCGGCCUUAGCCACCGCGGGGUUGUGGGACCUGUCCGGAGGAGUCCGCCGACUCCUCGGGGAGUUACAAAACCCCAGCCUAGCCGAAGUCCCCUGGAAUGGGGCGCCAUAGAGGGUGAAAGCCCCGUAGGCGAAAGGCUAGGGGUCUCCCUGGGGCAGGUUCCCGAGUACCGCGGCCCCCGUGAAAGGUCGCGGGAAGCAGGGGGGACCACCCUCCAAGGCUAAGUACUACCGGCCGACCGAUAGCGCAUAGUACCGUGAGGGAAAGGUGAAAAGAACCCCGGGAGGGGAGUGAAAGAGAACCUGAAAUCCCGAGUCCACAACCCAGUGGAAGGGGUGUGCCUCUGGCACGCCCCGACUGCGUGCCUUUUGCAGAAUGAGCCGGGGAGUUGUCCUCCGCGGCGAGGCUAAGCCGUAAGGCGAAGCCGUAGCGAAAGCGAGUCCGAAUAGGGCGCUAAGUCGCGGGGGGCAGACGCGAAGCCGGGCGAUCUACCCUUGCCCUGGGUGAAGGCCGGGUAACACCGGCUGGAGGCCCUAAGGGGUCGGUGCUGCAAAACCGUCCCGUGAGGUGAGGGUAGCGGUGAAAAGCCAAUCGCGCCCGGGGAUAGCUCGUUCUCCCCGAAAUGCAUCGAAGUGCAGCCUCGCACCAGCUGCAGCCGGAGGUAGAGCCACCGGUAGGGCUAGGGCCCCGAAAGGGGUACCGAACCCUGCCGAACUCCGAAUGCCGGCUGGCAGGGUGCGGGAGUGAGUCCUCGGAGGAUAAGCCCCGAGGACAAGAGGGGAACAACCCAGACCGCCGGCUAAGGCCCCCAAGUCCGGGCUAAGUGGUAAAGGAAGUCCCCCUCCGAAGACAGCCGGGAGGUUGGCUUAGAGGCAGCCAUCCUUUAAACAGUGCGUAACAGCUGACCGGUCGAGGAGGGGGGCGCCGAAAUAUUCUCGGGGCUCAAGCCCGGCGCCGAAGCCGCGGGUCACACAGCCCUCCGGGGCUGUGUGGCGGUAGGGGAGCGUUCCCAGCGCGCCGAAGCCCAAGCCGUGAGGCAGGGUGGAGCGCUGGGAAGUGAGAAUCCCGGCAUGAGUAGGAGCGAAGGCAGGUGAGAAACCUGCCCGCCGGAAGCCCAAGGUUUCGGCGGCAAUGAAAAUCAGCCGCCGGUUAGCCGGGACCCUAAGGCGAGGCCGAAAGGCGUAGCCGAUGGGAAGCGGGUCAACAUUCCCGCGCCAGUCGGGUGGAGACCGGGUCGUGACGCAGGAGGCUAGGCCGGGCCCGCAAUGGAUGCGGGUGCAAGGUAGUAGGGGGACGGGACAGGCAAAUCCGUCCCGUCAUACCCCGAGAGCCGAUGCCGUAAGCCGGCCGACGCCACACUGCCAAGAAACAACGGCACGGUCUGUGAGGCCCGACUGCCCGUACCGGAAACCGACACAGGUGGGCUGGGUUAGGAGCCUAAGGCGUCGGGGGAACUCCCCUCAAGGAACUCGGCAAGUUGGCCCCGUACCUUCGGAAGAAGGGGUGCCCGUGGGGGUGUAGGCCCUCGCGGCCGAAGCCCCCGCGGGUCGCAGUGACAGGGCGGUGCCGACUGUUUACCAAAAACACAGCACUCCGCAAACCCGUAAGGGGAUGUAUGGGGUGUGAAGCCUGGCCAGUGCCCGUAGGUGAACCCCCCGGGUGAUAAGCUCGGGGGUUAAGCCCGGGUAAACGCCGGCCGUAACUAUGACGGUCCUAAGGUAGCGAAAUUCCUUGUCGGGUAAGUUCCGACCUGCAUGAAUGGC